rnacentral:rRNA from 1 species
UAGGGAAUUUUCGUCAAUGGGGGGAACCCUGAACGAGCAAUGCCGCGUGUGUGAAGAAGGUCUUCGGAUCGUAAAGCACUGUUGUAAGUGAAGAAUGCCACAUAGAGGAAAUGCUAUGUGGGUGACGGUAGCUUACCAGAAAGCCACGGCUAACUACGUGCCAGCAGCCGCGGUAAUACGUAGGUGGCAAGCGUUAUCCGGAAUCAUUGGGCGUAAAGGGUGCGUAGGUGGCACGAUAAGUCUGAAGUAAAAGGCAACAGCUCAACUGUUGUAUGCUUUGGAAACUGUCGGGCUAGAGUGCAGAAGAGGGCGAUGGAAUUCCAUGUGUAGCGGUAAAAUGCGUAGAUAUAUGGAGGAACACCAGUGGCGAAGGCGGUCGCCUGGUCUGUAACUGACACUGAUGCACGAAAGCGUGGGGAGCAAAUAGGAUUAGAUACC